AAUUUUCAAAAAUACAAAAAGUAACCAACUCAUCCUGUAUAAUUCAAAAGCAGUCCACCUUCCUAUCGCGAGCUCGCUCCUUCCUCUCCUCCGUGUUCAGAAGUUUCAUCUCACCAUGUUUCACUCUCUCCCUUGAAGCAAACAGCAAAGCUCGCGUUCCGUCGGUGGAUCUUCCCACACCCUUCUCCUACGCUGCCUUGUUUAUCCGCUCCUUCCCUCCCGUCUCUGUUCCUGCGAGCCUACCCUAUCAACACCAUCCUUCUAUUGAUCAUCGUGCGUGCGAAGAAGAUGAUCAGCAUCCGAUGGUAGCGGCGGGGCGUCAGCCUUGUGCGCAGUUCUUAAGACGUGCCUUGCAGAGGGAUGAUGAGACGAAGCGCUCAUGUGAGUGUUUGUGUCGUCUCUGAUACUGAUGCAGGUGUUAGCAACCCGAAGAAGCCUCCUGUGUGCGCGAAUGGGGUGGUUCUGCGGUGGAGAUUUUAUGGCCUUCUUGGUUCGCUCUCUGGUGUAAGAACGUCAUUUGCGUCAUGCGAACAACAUGUUUGAUGAUAUGUUACAGUGAGGUCUCUCUUUUUGUAUGACAAGUGACACUUUAUACGCUCUUUGAUAAGGAGCGAAAAAGGGGCGUUUUAGUUGUUGGGUAGAUGAAUUAAACAGUACGUAAGUUUGCAGGUGGAAUGAGCAUGACAGUGUCUGUGCCGCCGAACAAGAUACCAUAGUAGCAUCUGUCUCCCCUUGAUGUUAUUACAUAGGAAGAAUAAAAAUGCUUCUAAAAAUAAUGAUGACAUGCAAAUAAGCAUUCUUUUGGCUGAGGCGAUAAACGGAGCACUGUUUCUGGUCAAGAAAAUGCUGGCCUGUCUGUUUGAUGGGGAUAGAAAUGGAGAACAGACAAGUUUCUUCUUUGGAAAAUUGAUAAUGAAUCACUGUGGUGCACCCUAGGGAGCAGGUUUUAUCCCUCUAUCAUUGCUGAACAACUAUUUAUGUUGAAGUUAUCCAACUACCUCUCACACAAGAAGGCUCCUCAGGCUACAACCAUUCAUCUUUCAGGAACUUGUAUAGAUUGGUGCGUUUUAUUUUUUUCUCUACUUAUGUAUCUUGUUAAAAAACCCUCUUGCCAUUUUCUACAGCAAAAUUUAUAAGGUCGUUUUUACUUAUGAUAUUAAUACUGUGCUAGUUAUUAGUGUGUGCAUAUGUUAAUCUGUUAUGUUGUUUCUCUCUGCAAGUGCAUUCGUUUCUGAAAUUUUGCUUGCUAUCUUCAGUAUAUGGUGCACUAGGAGCAUUUAUGUUUUGGGAACUAAAUAGCAUAGACUGAUUUGCUACCUUACCUUUAAAACUAGAAAAUGUCAGUCCCCUAGGUCUCUACGUAACUCAUUCAUUGAAGAAUCCAUACAUUGUCUUCAUGGCAGCAAUGCUAGUUCGUGUAGUAUGUUAUACACUGGAUAGAGUAUAGAUUCUGUCUGCUGCUAGCUGGCACUUAAAUGCAUCAAACCCUAAAGGGAAUAAAGAUUGUUCAUUUUAUUUCAUAUAAAGGAUGCUCUCUCUCUCUCUCUCUCUCUCUCUCCUCUCUCUCUCUCUCAUGUAAUCCAAUGUUCAGUUAUUUUUAUGUGCAGUAACAGUCCUACCAAUGUGUUCGUAUGGAGUAAAAUUCUGAAACAGUCAUUUUCAUUAUUAAAGAUAUCGUGUCAAUGUUAGUUGAGUAUAGUUCAAGAAACAAGCAUUAUUGAAUGUUGGAAACAAUGUCAGUGGAGGUGCUAAUCAAUUGGAUGCUUGUCUGGACCUUGAUGAGCUUUCAUAAACUCUAUUAGGUCAGAAGGUGCAGGAGGACCUUGAUUCAUUUUAAAACUCUCCUUCCAGCAUUUGGAGAUGAAUUCACAGGGAUUAGCCAUGAACAAACCUUUUUGUUCCAUCCAGUAAAUAAUCUCUAAUAUUGUUCUUAGUCCAGUCUAUUAAUUCAAAGUUCAGAUAUAUUUUUAAGUGGAGUUGCAGCCAAUGUGUCAGUAUAGAAUAACAUCAUGAAAUGGUUAUCAUCUUUAUUAGAGAUACUUUGUUCAUAUUGGCUAUGUGCAGCAGAAAUAGAGGAUUUCGUUGUUAAAAAGGAAUUGAUGUUGUUGAGAGAUGUUUGGGUGACUGUUAUAUCUAUAAAGCAAUGUUGUCAAGAGACAUACAGGUGCUCAGACAAGGCGAGACAUUCAACCAAGUGUCACUUAGGCGAGCACCUCAGUUGAGGUACUAGGUGAUCGAAUGCUCUGUAACCUUGAUUGAGCUUCUGACCCAAAACUUUGUACCCCAAAAAGCUUCCCCUCCG
rnacentral:lncRNA from 1 species